GGUGCAUUCCUGAAACCCCAGCACUUGAGCGGCUGAGGCAGGAGGAUAGCAGAGAGUUUAAGGCCAGCCUGGGCUACAAAGUGAGUUCAAGGCCAGCCUGAACUACAUAGCGAGAUCCUUUCUCCAAAAAAAGAUGUGAGCUGACCAAUAGGAUGGCCGUAACUGUAUGACAGUUCUAGGUCUAGCCUUUAGGAGGACUGGCACCUUCCGCCCAGCCUCCAGGAAGGCCUGAGCUGCCAUGGUAGAAGUCGGACUACCUUUAGAGAAAGAACCCUGGAGAGUCCUGAGACUCAAAGCAGAGAAGCCCUGCUGAGCCUGACCUCUAUACCAAUCUAUCAGCUGUGAGACCAGCUGGGACCUACCAGACCAGUCCAAUCACCUGCUGAAUACCACCAGGAUACUGAAAAACGCAGGCUUUUAAAAAGCACCAGACACCA
ensembl:lncRNA